AUAUUGGACAAUGGGGGCAACCCUGAUCCAGCCAUGCCGCGUGUGUGAAGAAGGUCUUCGGAUUGUAAAGCACUUUAAGCUGGGAGGAAGGGCUCUUGGUUAAUACCCUGAAGUUUUGACGUUACCAACAAAUUAAGCACCGGCUAACCUCCUGUCAGCAGCCGCGGCAAUACAAAGGGUGCAAGCGUUAAUCGGAAUUACUGGGCGUAAAGCGCGCGUAGGUGGUUCAGUAAGAUGGGUGUGAAAUCCCCGGGCUUAACCUGGGAACUGCUUUCAUAACUGCUGAGCUAGAGUACGGUAGAGGGUAGUGGAAUUUCCUGUGUAGCGGUGAAAUGCGUAGAUAUAGGAAGGAACAUCAGUGGCGAAGGCGACUACCUGGACUGAUACUGACACUGAGGUGCGAAAGCGUGGGGAGCAAACA
rnacentral:rRNA from 1 species